rnacentral:rRNA from 1 species
GAAGCCGGAAUCGCUAGUAAUCGCGGAUCAGAAUGCCGCGGUGAAUACGUUCCCGGGUCUUGUACACACCGCCCGUCACACCAUGGGAGUCGGAAAUGCCCGAAGUCUGUGACCCAACCUACGGGAGGGAGCAGCCGAAGGCAGGUCGGAUGACUGGGGUGAAGUCGUAACAAGGUACC